ensembl:ncRNA F02E8.11 ncRNA
AAAACGUUCAAUCACUGUCAAAAGAACCCGAAACGACGAGACGGUCAAUUCUUCUUAUGAUUUAGCCAAGAUAAACACUGUCGUGCCGCCGUACUUGUGACC